rnacentral:rRNA from 1 species
ACACAUGCAAGUCGAGGGGCAGCAUGAUUGAAGCUCGCUUCAAUUGAUGGCGACCGGCGCACGGGUGAGUAACGCGUAUCCAACCUUCCGUACACUCAGGGAUAGCCUUUCGAAAGAAAGAUUAAUACCUGAUGGUAUGAUGAGAUUGCAUGAUAGCAUCAUUAAAGAUUUAUCGGUGUACGAUGGGGAUGCGUUCCAUUAGGUAGUAGGCGGGGUAACGGCCCACCUAGCCUACGAUGGAUAGGGGUUCUGAGAGGAAGGUCCCCCACAUUGGAACUGAGACACGGUCCAAACUCCUACGGGAGGCAGCAGUGAGGAAUAUUGGUCAAUGGACGAGAGUCUGAACCAGCCAAGUAGCGUGAAGGAUGAAGGUCUUACGGAUUGUAAACUUCUUUUAUAAGGGAAUAAAACCUCCCACGUGUGGGAGCUUGUAUGUACCUUAUGAAUAAGCAUCGGCUAACUCCGUGCCAGCAGCCGCGGUAAUACGGAGGAUGCGAGCGUUAUCCGGAUUUAUUGGGUUUAA